UCGAGAAUUUUUCGCAAUGGGGGAAACCCUGACGGAGCGACGCCGCGUGGAGGAUGACGGUCAUUAGAUUGUAAACUCCUGUCAUGCGAGAACAAGAAAGUGAUAGUAUCGCAAGAGGAAGGGACGGCUAACUCUGUGCCAGCAGCCGCGGUAAUACAGAGGUCCCAAGCGUUGUUCGGAUUCAUUGGGCGUAAAGGGUGCGUAGGCGGUGUCGCAAGUCGAAUGUGAAAUCCCGGAGCUCAACUCCGGAACUGCAUUCGAUACUGCGGCGCUCGAGGACUGUAGAGGAGAAUGGAAUUCAUGGUGUAGCAGUGAAAUGCGUAGAUAUCAUGAGGAAGACCAGUGGCGAAGGCGAUUCUCUGGGCAGCUCCUGACGCUGAGGCACGAAGGCCAGGGUAGCGAACGGGAUUAGAUACCCCCGUAGUCC
rnacentral:rRNA from 1 species